CCAAAAUGUUCAUAUUAAACAAAAAUAGUCCAUAUAUACUACUUAAAUAAAAAAUAUAAAAUCUAAGAUCCAAAGUUGCCGUCCAGUCUAAGUUAGAGGAUCUCAUGAUUGCUGAAACGAUGAAACUCACAAUUAAUGUGCUCUGAAUCUCUUCACAAACAGCAAACAAAUACGACGAUUACACUUCGGGAGGGUCUUGAUUCACAACCCCUUCGCACUAUUAUUUGCCUUACGAUCAAAAUAGAGACCCAACGCAAUAUCCAAACGAAACCAGCAACAAAACGAAAAUAGAAGAAAGAACAAGAACAAGAACCAGAACCGUAAAGGAAAGAAGAAACACAGAGCACAAGAAAGGGUGAAAAAAAAAACCGUCAAAGCAAGAAAGGGGAGUGGGGUUCUGACGGUUGCAAAAGAAAAG
rnacentral:lncRNA from 1 species